AAGAAAGAAGUGAAGGGCUUGUUCGGGCUCCAUCACGUUCGGAAACCUGUUGAUGAGCUGGUCAGGGUGGUUAAGGACGGGUUGUUGGCGAACGAGAAGGUGGAGCUGCCGCUCACGUACGUGGUUAUUUCCGGUCGGGGGAUAGACGUCAGGGAGCACAAAUCAAACACUGUCAAAGACCAAACCUUGACUUACGGACUUAUCCCUAUUGAUUUCAUUUCCUACGGCGUCCAGGAUCUCAAAUAUUGGAAAGUGUUUACGUUUAUUGUGGUGAAUCAGCUUUCGUCAAGGACCAAAGAGACAGAAUGCCACGCGUAUCUGUGCGAUUCUGCGGCAAAUUGCCGACGAAUGGCGCUCUCGCUUGGCGCCUCGUUCAGUGUGUACAAACAGAAACUGGCCACUCAAGGAAAGGCACACAAUUUUCAGGUGGAGCUGAGGCCACCAGAUGAACUAGCCGGUGAAUUUGGAAAAGAUGAUUGUGAAGCUUAAUUUAAUCAAUUUAUUAUAACGUAUUAACUUUAUAUCUGUGUUCAGGGUUAAGUUGUUGCAUUUAUGCAGUUUGCUUGCCAUUUUUUUGUUACAUGAAUACUGCAUAAUCGGCAUACAGAGAAGUUAAAUUUUUAUUUAACC
rnacentral:misc_RNA from 1 species